UUCAUGGCAAGUGGUACUAUUGAGAGUUGGAGUUUAGGCAGGUUGAAGUAUUUAGAUAUAGAUGUGAGUGUGGAGUGGUCAAUGGAGAGUAGUGUUGGCAUUAGAGAGACUGUGGAAGGGAUGCUGCAAGGAUGUGCCAACUCACUUAAGGAGUUAGAUUUGAAGGGAGUGGAAAACUGGGAGUGGCUGCCUCAAUCAAUUCAACAUCUCACUACUCUUCAAAUCUUGAAUUUAGAAAAUAUAGGAGUAGAAGAAUUGCCACAGUGGCUGGGGAACCUCUCAUCUCUAGGGAUCUUAUGGCUAAAACAUUGUAACAGGUUGAGGUGUCUGCCCUCUGUUGCUGCGCGACUCACUAAAUUAAUCUAUUUACAUAUUGAUGAUUGCCCGGAACUACACAUUGAUUUGGAGUGGCGCAACCAUCCCAAUCUGGAAAUCAGGGAAUGAUGUAGCAAUGAGCAGAGCUGAAAAUGGAGUCCGUAUGAAGUCGGAAACUGAAAGCAAAGUCAAGAGACAUUCCAACAUUCCACACGCACGCAUGGGAGGUCGUGCUCUGUCCAGAUCUUCUUCCGUGAGCCGUUGUAGCAGAUUCAUGAAAUUCAGAUUUAAAAUAAGGAAAGAGGUGGUGUUUGGUUUUCAUUACUUUGUGUGUAAUUUAUCUUAGCAUGUGUGCCUGGUCCUUCUUCGUUGCUCCUAGCAUUAGUAGGAAGAAUUGAUAGAAUAAUUUGCUGAAAUUCAGUACUUAUUUGCUUAAGUUUUCAUAUUUGGUUUGGAUUGCUUAUAUAUACACACUAUUUUAUGAUGCA